AUAAGCAUAUCAAUAAGCGGAGGAAAAGAAACCAACAGGGAUUGCCCCAGUAACGGCGAGUGAAGCGGCAAUAGCUCAAAUUUGAAAUCUGGCUCUUUCAGGGUCCGAGUUGUAAUUUGCAGAGGGUGCUUUGGCGUCGGCCGUGGUCUAAGUUCCUUGGAACAGGACGUCACAGAGGGUGAGAAUCCCGUACGUGGCCGCCGGUCUUCGCCGUGUAAAGCCCCUUCGACGAGUCGAGUUGUUUGGGAAUGCAGCUCUAAAUGGGAGAUAAAUUUCUUCUAAAGCUAAAUAUUGGCCAGAGACCGAUAGCGCACAAGUAGAGUGAUCGAAAGAUGAAAAGCACUUUGGAAAGAGAGUCAAAAAGCACGUGAAAUUGUUGAAAGGGAAGCGCUUGCAGCCAGACGUGCCCGCAGUUGCUCACCCGGGCUCUCGCCCGGGGCACUCUUCUGCGGGCAGGCCAGCAUCAGUUCGGGCGGUUGGAUAAAGGCCUCUGUCACGUACCACCCCCUCGGGGGCGGCCUUAUAGGGGAGGCGCAACACGACCAGCCCGAACUGAGGACCGCGCAUUAUGCUAGGAUGCUGGCGUAAUGGCUGUAAGCGGCCCGUCUUGAAACACGGACCAAGGAGUCUAACAUCUAUGCGAGUGUUUGGGUGUCAAGCCCGGACGCGCAAUGAAAGUGAACGGAGGUGGGAACCCUUACGGGCGCACCAUCGACCGAUCCUGAAGUCUUCGGAUGGAUUUGAGUAAGAGCAUAGCUGUUGGGACCCGAAAGAUGGUGAACUAUGCCUGAAUAGGGUGAAGCCAGGGGAAACCCUGGUGGAGGCUCGCAGCGGUUCUGACGUGCAAAUCGAUCGUCAAAU
rnacentral:rRNA from 1 species